GUAGGUGGCAAGCGUUGUCCGGAAUUAUUGGGGCGUAAAGCGCGCGCAGGCGGUUCUUUAAGUCUGAUGUGAAAGCCCACGGGCUCAACCGUGGAGGGUCAUUGGAAACUGGAGAACUUGAGUACAGAAGAGGAAAGCGGAAUUCCACGCGUAGCGGUGAAAUGCGUAGAGAUGUGGAGGAACACCAGUGGCGAAGGCGGCUUUCUGGUCUGUAACUGACGCUGAGGCGCGAAAGCGUGGGGAGCAAACAGGAUUAGAUACCCUGGUAGUCCACGCCGUAAACGAUGAGUGCUAAGUGUUAGGGGGUUUCCGCCCCUUAGUGCUGCAGCUAACGCAUUAAGCACUCCGCCUGGGGAGUACGGCCGCAAAGGCUGA
rnacentral:rRNA from 1 species